rnacentral:lncRNA from 10 species
CACUUAUUUCUGUGAAAUAGUUAGGAUUUAAGAGGCCUAAUAAAGUGUGCCUCUCAUCCCAGCCAGAGUUUGGUGACAGGGAUCAGAUUGACAGAUUAAAAAUGUCAGCUGUAUUACUGAUAAGAGCUAGAUUGAGAGAGUUGCUGCAAUGCCUGUGAAUACUCCAUCAGCUGUUAGCCACCCAGUCCCUGGCAUAAUGGGACACUACAGGCCUCCUCCUGCAGGGCAGGUCCCACAUCCCAGGGCAGGGAGAGGACGGGACACUUGGUUCAGAAGGAGCCACAGGAGGGACCAGACUGGGCAGACUCCUUUCCUGUGGAGUUAACUCCACAGCAAGACCUGCCCCUGAAAACUUUAGUCCAGGGCAAUAGAGGCUUCCAGAGGGAAUUAGUUACAGUAGAACUGUAUUACUCUUUGUAUCUUGGAGAACAUGACAGAAAUAGAAAUAUUAGGAGAGGUUAUAAACAUGUUAAUUUUUGUUUCAUUUUUAUUCUUGCAUAUUUUAAAGCCUAGGGGGAAACAGUCAAGUGACAGAUCAAGGCAUUGAAAUAAAAGUUUAAGCAAUGGUAAUCCUAACCAUUAGCACUUUCCUGCAAUCGGGCAGCAACUCCACGUGAAAUGGGAACUUGUGGCCUGAACAUUAAUAUGACCAACUUUCUGCCAAAAUGUCCAUGACCCGCAGGGCCUGGCUAGUUGUUGUUAAUUGGUGGCCUGUGGCUUCCAGUGCUGAGCUGCCUUCUGGUUCCUGGGCCUCUGAGGGAAAUGGGGUUGUUUUGAAAUCCAGUGUUCUUAAUGAAGCAAUUCCUGAACCAAAAAUGUGUGAGAAAUUAACCUAAAAGUGAAAAAGAAACUGGUCUAUUGAAAAGUCAGUGACCCUUCCAGGGUUGCUUUUAAAAGAAUAGGUUUUGUUUUACUUGACACUUUGGGAAGUGAUUUAAUAAGCCAUAAUGUCAAAGAAAAUUAUCCAGUGUGUUUCAUGUCCUGCAGCCUGGAAUAUCUAAACUAAAUCCUUGCAAAUGAGCAUCAUUAUUAGUGAAAUUUUGUUGCAAAAUUUGGCGUGGACAAUUUAGAAUCGUCAGACUUCUAGGCACUGUCAUGGAAUUGGCAAGAUUCAAGGGAUUUUUCUGAUUUAAUGACAUUUUCUUUAUUGUCCCCAUAAUCACCUGCUUUAUGAACUGUGGCUAGAACUGAUGUUGCAGCUGGUAAUUUUCUUAGAACCCAAAUGCAUUUAUAUUUUUCCGUCUUUUUAUUUCCAUCAUUUCUGGGAAUUGUUAGUAGAUGGAAUAAAAAGAGAAUACAUUAUAAACAAUUCAAAACACCAAAAACAAAAUUCCUUGGACCUUUUACAGAUACCACACAUGCAAAUAAAUGUGGUUUUGCAUUCCAAUGGCAUUCAAGUGGGGAUUACAUUUUCCUCAUUAACCUCUUUCUUAAGCAAACAGCAUGGUUUUUCAAGUAUGUUUUAUCUAAAUCUAGUUUGACAUUUAAAAUUAAUUCACACUGACUCAGUUCAAGUGAAGAGGUAGAAUGUCUUCUUCUUUUGAUCCCAGCAAUUGUGCAAUCCUGGUUGAAUUGUACCAAAGUAGGAAUGCCUACUAUUUUAGGAUGAAAUCAGAAGAUUGAUUGUAUUGCUUGUAAAACCAAAACAAAUGAACAAACAAACAAAAAAAAAAAAUUAGAAACGCAGCAUAUGUUUUUUCCUGAACUACUGAGGAAAGAAGUGGAAAAAUGGACUCAUGAAGUAUACUUCAGAUGUGAACAUGAUUGCUCUCCUUAUGACAAAUCAUUUAUAAAAUGAAUGUACUUAUUUCUAAUUAAAAGAAACUUAGAUCUGUUUUCAAUUAGUCAUAACCAAUAAUUCCUCUGCUAAUAUGUGGACCUUAAUUUGAAGCAGUGGGAAUCUUCUCUUUUCUCCAGGAAGUCAACAGAAUUGCUUAGAAAGACUGCACAGUUUUGGUAGGAACAGAAACAUAACUUGAUUAUUUUUUAAAAAGCUUCUGUAAACACUUAUGCAUGAAUCUAUUAUCUUUGCCCUGAAACAGAACAAAAGCAUA